rnacentral:rRNA from 1 species
AUGGGCUGGGCUUUCUAUCUCUGUCACGCAGGAAGUGGAAGCAAUUUUGCGCACUGGCCUUUGAUGCACGCUGGGAAAGGUGAGACAUUGCUCUUCUGGUCAGAUAUCUGGCUCCACGGUCAUAGUAUGGCACAGCUCACUACAAAUUUGAAGAAUUUCCUGAAGCUUGUUGCUCAUUCUUGUACUGUUGCGGAAGCCUUGCACGAAAACACAUUGCUCCAAUAUGUACAAGGCACACCAUCCGUUCCCACCAUUGUGGAAUUUAUUGAUCUGUGUGCUGAGGUUCAGCAGAUUCAGUUGGCGUUUGGGAGGAUCUAUUCACUUGGAGGGUCACCUCCAAUGGGAAGUACUCGGCCAAAUCUACGUACAAUACAUUCUACCUCGGACGUCAUCCCAUGUGCUAAUGAGCUUUGGAGGUCUUGGGAACCCCUCGAGUUGAAGAUCUUUGACUGGAUUACCAUAUGCAACCGUCUCAAGACCAUAGACAAACUCACGACGAGGUAG